UUGAGCCGUAUGCGGUGAAAGUCGCAUGUACGGUUCUUAGAAGAGAAAGGGUGAGAAAUCGCUCUUUCUUAUUCGGC
rnacentral:ncRNA from 1 species